UGGAAAUAGAAAGGUGAAUUAGACAGGAACUUCAGUGGAUAAGUUUGGAGACCAAAAGUAAAAGGUAACUGGGCUAUGAGGACAGCCAAUAUUUUGGCCCUGGCCCCUCAAGGUCAACAAAGUUCCAGAACAUGAGGGAACCUUCUCUACAGGGUCCUACAUCUUUGGUGUCCAAUCCUAGAAACCACUGGUCUCCAGAUCUCUCCUUUUAGGAAUGAUUGAGGGCAUUCACCAAUCAGACAGUCAUGGAGUUCAUCAUGGCAGGGUACCAGCCAGUACGGCAAAAGGAAGAGGUCCCCACUUGCCAUGGGCCUCAUCAGAUCCAGAUCUAGCCCUGAUCUUCAACCCUUGUCAGCA
ensembl:lncRNA